CUCUCUCUUUCUCUCUCCUCCCUCCCUCUAAACCCCUCAAUCCCCGAUUUCACAAGCGCCAUGUCUGAACCAGUGAAGCUUUUAGUGCACGUGUCUCGGACGACGUCGCGGGACAUCUGAAUUGCCCUAUGUUUGCUCGCAUUGGCUGACCGUCGUCUUCUCGCCGGUGAUCUGGUCAGUCCGUACAUGUUUACAAGUAUUCACUGAUUUUAGUUUUUAUUUUAUAAAUAAAAAAU
rnacentral:lncRNA from 1 species